rnacentral:lncRNA from 1 species
UUUAGAGGAGAAAACGAGGGCGGAAAGGGGGACUGAGAGGGAGAGAGGCGAGGGGGAGGCGAGAGAACAGGGGUGCGAGUUGGCGCGGGCGGCCUGGGGAUGGAGGAGCCUUUGGGCUGAAUUGCCUGUUUGAUCUCGUCCGCGCUGCGCAGGGGUAGGCCGCUGGAAAGACUGGGUGGCCUGGACAACAGGGUCCGAGGGGAAGAAGGUGUAUUUCUGUUGCUGGACAUGAUGGCCACACAAUCUUGCUUCCCACUUUCCUGUCUACAGGCUCAGUAGAUCCAGAUCGUGUGAGUCUCUUUUAUUCCCGUUUUGCACGUGAGGCCACGGAGGCCGGGAUAGACCAGGAUCGCACACGUCUUGGGGGCCUACUCCGGACUCAAACCUACGUCUCUGUGACUCCAAAACUCAUAUUAUACUAUGACCUAGUAUUUGCUGGUGUAAGACGAAUGGUUCCGUUUUAGCGCAGAUGCAAGCGCCACCUUAUUUGGAGGACAGGCAGGUAGAUCUGCAGCUGUAAAACCCGAGGCCCCGAGGCGGGCUUGCACAGCUCCCCUGGCUCUCCGUCCACGUCCACGUCUCUGCUGUCCACUGCUCCUAGAGCACCUUUCGACUCUUGGAAACAGGUAAAGAGAAAUCUGCCCUCCGGCAUCUUCACCUCCAACUACGUUUGUUGUUUCCAGCUGCUAAAAAUUGGUACUUUUAGAAGUCAAUCGUCCUGCCAGUUACCAAGGGUCGGGGCUCCGGUGAGUGCUGAUUUGGAGACGGUUGGAAGCAUCGUGGCCAAGCCUCCUCCCUGGCACCUGGCGAUUCUGUCCUUCAAGUCCCUGGGUGUGUGCCCUCAGCAAAUACUAACCCACAGAGUGUGUUGCCAACUCCAGUCAUCUGUGCAUUUGCCCUCUGGGGAUGGAAAGCUGGAGGAAAUGCCAUUUCCUAAUCUCCUUGGGGCUUGGACCGCAAGAUAUUUUUGCCCGGUGGGGUGGGUGGAAGCCUUCAGAGAGUAAAUGUGUCUUUAGGGCCUGCGGUGCCCUCAGGAUCCUUUAAGGGACAUGGCUGCCGAGAAAAACCCACAGAUGGUUCUGGCUUUGUCUUUACCUCAUUAAGCCCUUUGGGUUGCAGGAGUUCCCCUCGUGGCUCAGCGGAAAAGAAUCUGACUAGCAUCUAUGAGGAUGCAGGUUCGAUUCCUGGCCUCGCUCAGUGGGUUAAGGAUCUAGUGUUGCCAUGAGCUAUGGUGUAGGUGGCAGAUGCGACUCAGGUGCUGAGUUGCUGUGGCUGUGCUGUAGGCUAGUGGCUAUAGCUCUAAUUCGACCCCUAGCCUGGAAUCUCCAUAUGCCGAAGGUGCGGCCCUAAAUAGACCAAAAAAAAAAAAAAAAAAAAAAAGCCUUUUGGGCUGAAAGGAAUCAACUUGAGCUGGCUUAAGCAUUAAGCAGUGCCUCAUCAAGUCCAAGGACAGAUGGCUGCCAGACACCCAGGCAGGACCCUUUCUCCAGCUUUGUCUCUGCUUCCUCUCGCGCGCGCUCUCGCGCUCUCGCUCGCUCGCUCUCUCUCUCUCUCUCUCUCUCUCUCUCUCUCUCUCUCUCUCGCCCUCGCUCUUGCUCUGCAAUGGCCUUUCCUUUCUUCUCCGUGGGUGAUCCUGCUACAGUCACCACAUUUGCAUCUCCUCUCCUGAAGACACUAGCCAGGCCAUUGGCCGCCCUUGGUUGGUCCAAUACCACGUUCCCCGGGAAGGAGAAUGCAAUUGUCCCAGCCUGGGGCAGGUACACAACUUGAUCUAAGCAGGGUGACCACAGGCAGGGUGCCCUGAGACAGCCAGAGGGGCAGUUCUCCCGGAGGGAGAGUCCAGGGGGAUGGGCAGACAUUUCUAGAGAGUGACUAUUACGGGCUUCGAUCAAAUUAGUUGUUGAUAGAAAAAAGUGGUAUGGUACAGGUGGGAGUCUGGGACAGUUCAGACACUCUGGAGACUUAAUUUGCCUAAAUCAUUGUUGUUGUUUUUUUUUAAUCUUUUUUUUAGGGCCGCACCUGAGGCAUAUGGAGAUUCCCGGGCGAGGGGUCAAAUCAGUACUGUAGCCACCAGCCUAUGCCACAGCCACAGCAACUUGGGAUCUGAGCCACAUCUGCGACCUACCCUGCAGCUCAUGGCAACACCGGAUCCUUAAUCCAUUGAGAGAGGCCAGGGAUCAAACCUGUGUCCUCAUGGAUGCUGGUCAGAUUUGUUUCCGCUGAGCCGCAACGGGAACUCCUGAUUUGCCUAAAUUCUUGAGUGAUAAAUUCUCUGUCAUGGAGCUGUGGUUAGAGAGCGAUUUCCUUGCAGUUCAAUCCUGUCAUCUGGGCUCCAAGAAAGCCAUUCAGAGGAAUGUCUUAUUAAUCUUUUAGUGGUUAUUAUCACGUACAUUUUUAUCUUGUUGAAGUGUGUUGGCUAGAUAGACACUGAAAAUUAAUGAAAGUGUAAUUUUAAGUUUGUAGGUAUUGAUAUAUACAGGUACACAUACCGACUGUAUUUUUAAACACCCAACCUACUUGGAAGCAACUUGGAUUUGGAAGCAACUUCUUCUUUUUUUUUUUUUUUUCUUUUUAGGACCGUACCUGUGGCAUAUGGAAGUUCCCAGGCUAGGUGUCCAAUUGGAGCUGUAGCUGCCUGCCUGCACCACAGCCACAGCAACGGAAAAACGUUGGGAUCUGAGCCGCGUCUACAAACUGCACCACAGCUCACGGCAACGAUGGAUACCUAACCCACUGAGAAAGGCUAGAGAUCGAACCUGCGUUCUCAUGCAGGUUCAUGACAGCUGAGCCAUGACGGGAAAUGACUUCUAGCAAAAACACAGAAGUAUGACAAAAACUCACUAACACUAAAAAAAGAAGUAAAAGUCAAGAAGCAAGCAGGCUGCAGUUAAGCCAGUUGGCAGAGAUGGUCAGGCUUUAACUCCUGAUCUGAUUUUUUUUUUUGUCUUUUCUAGGGCCGCACCCAUGGCAAAUGGAGGUUCCCAGGCUAGGGC